GCAUGGCUAGCUCAGUUGGGGGCGUAUGAGACUCUAAAUCUCAGGAUUGUGGGUUUGAGCCCCAUUCUGGGCA